AGAGUUUGAUCCUGGCUCAGAAUCAACGCUGGCGGCGCGCUUAACACAUGCAAGUCGCACGAGAAAGUGGAGCAAUCCAUGAGUAAAGUGGCGUACGGGUGAGUAACACGUGGAUCAUCUACCUUUUAGUGGGGAAUACCCCCGGGAAACUGGGGAUAAUACCGCAUAAGCCUGUAAAGGGAAAGCAGCAAUGCGCUGAAAGAGGAGUCCGCGGCUGAUUAGCUAGUUGGUGAGGUAAUGGCUCACCAAGGCGAAGAUCGGUAGCCGGCCUGAGAGGGCACACGGCCACACUGGCACUGAAACACGGGCCAGACUCCUACGGGAGGCAGCAGUGGGGAAUCUUGCACAAUGGAGGAAACUCUGAUGCAGCGACGCCGCGUGAGCGAUGAAGCCCUUCGGGGUGUAAAGCUCUUUCGACGGGAACGAUAAUGACGGUACCCGAAGAAGAAGCUGCGGCUAACUACGUGCCAGCAGCCGCGGUAAUACGUAGGCAGCAAGCGUUGUUCGGAAUUACUGGGCGUAAAGAGUGUGUAGGCGGUGUUCUAAGUUUGUCGUGAAAUCUCCCGGCUUAACUGGGAGGGUGCGGCGAAAACUGGAAUGCUAGAGGAUGGGAGAGGUAAGCGGAAUUCCUGGUGUAGCGGUGAAAUGCGUAGAUAUCAGGAGGAACACCUGUGGUGUAGACAGCUUACUGGACCAUUUCUGACGCUGAGACACGAAAGCGUGGGUAGCAAACAGGAUUAGAUACCCCAGUAGUCC
rnacentral:rRNA from 1 species